rnacentral:lncRNA from 1 species
ACUGUCUUUGGUCAUAGAAGGUUUUGGGAGGUGUGUGUGUGAUGCUCUGUUCUACCUUCCUAUAUGCACAUGAGGUGUUGAAUGAAAUGCCCGAGCCAUACUUAAGCUUUCUCCUCUGUUCUUCCUCCAAGCUCGACGUCCAAGCUCCAUUUUCCUCAAGAUUUGGCGAUGCACCAACUAUCCAAGUGUUCUAGAAGGUUAACAACUUCAUCCUUGUGGUUUGUGAGUUUUACUUGUAUGAUUAAGAUAGCUACUUUUUAUAAUUUUCUUACUUGUAUUAUUGCUUGUUAUUAUAUAGUGACAUGGUUUUGGUAUCCGCCCCCAUCGGCUCUCGUCUUGUCUAUGAUUCGGAUGUGGUAUAUUAUCUUUUAUAACUAUUUGUUUCGUUUAGUGUUUAUGACAAUUAUGCCGACCAAAUUGACAUAGAUGUCUUUAUCUAGGAGGUAUGUGAACCGGAAAUUCCAACCGACCCUCUUGUCGAGAGGUUAAAUCUAGUUGAACAAUAAAACAAUUAUUUGGAAAGAAGAGAAGAAGAGAAGAUGAAAUUGGAGUUGCAUGUUGCUGAUGUCAUCGAUCUACACAAGAUCUAGAAUCUCUCGGAAUGGUCAUGGCCUCAAGGAUGAUGUUCCCGCACAUCCCACACUGAACUAAAGCUGCAAAGAUCGUUUCGAAAAGAUUAACAUAUUUCCUCUUCCAAAUAAAACUUUUUCAAAAAAUACACGACACUCGGGUCGGUGGGGAUGGGCUGGUAUCUGUUAUCGCAAACCGGCGAGGCGUCACCGGAACCAAGAGGGACGCACUUGAGGACGACGUCGAUGACCAGACUGACCGACCCGAUGAGCAUGCUCAUGAGCCACACCGUCCCGUUGAGGUGCACCAUGUCGUUGAACAUUCCCAACAGCUCCACCAGGAUCACCUAGAACCCAACGGUGGCACAGGCCACCGCCGAGAAGACCCAACUACUGAACAUGCCGCUGAAGACGUUAAUCUUUUCCAUCUCCCUAUUGUUCACCUCGUUGAAGAUCUCAUGAAAGUAUCAAUACAAGUUAAGAGAGUUGUAUUUCGAUCUUGUGCUUGAGACUGUAGUACCUGGCAGAAGACAAAGGUGUUGAAGAUGAAGUUGUUGAGCAGUUUGUCGUCGCCCUUCAUUUGCAGGAGGCUCUCUCCUCAAGUUUAGGUUAAUUUAAUCAUACUUUUUGAAGCCUUUUUAUUAAAAAAAAU